rnacentral:lncRNA from 1 species
AAAGGAGAGUUAUAUUUAGAACUGAGUGUUAGCUGCCAGUGAGAGGUAAAAAUCUAUAACCUCAAAAGGGAAUUUAGUGAGAACUUUUAUGUAAGAGCGGGUCUGACAGGAUUCUGUGUCCGCAGUCCUGCUGAACGAAUUCUCCAAGUUAGCUGCUGUCCAUAGAGUGUAACCAGAUGUUUUAGCUGUUGUUUUCUUUUUAAAACAUAUUAACAGUAAUGAGCUUGUGUUAACAGCAGCUGGUUCCUUAGUUGCUGGGAUCUUUUGUUGUUGUUUUCACUUUGAAAGAUCAUUCUGUUUCAAAUUAGACAUAAAAG